rnacentral:misc_RNA from 1 species
UAACCCUCAAGCCUCGCUUGGUAUUGGAACCGCGGGAUCGCGGCCCCUAAAAUCAGUGGCGGUGCCUAUAGGCUCUACGCGUAGUCAUCUUUCUCGCGACAGACCCCCUAUACGUGCUCGCCAAGAACCCCCCAUUCUUUCA